UGGGGAAUUUUGAACAAUGGGCGAAAGCCUGAUCCAGCAAUGCCGCGUGUGUGAAGAAGGCCUUCGGGUUGUAAAGCACUUUUGUCCGGAAAGAAAUCCUUGGCUCUAAUACAGUCGGGGGAUGACGGUACCGGAAGAAUAAGCACCGGCUAACUACGUGCCAGCAGCCGCGGUAAUACGUAGGGUGCAAGCGUUAAUCGGAAUUACUGGGCGUAAAACGUGCGCAGCGGCUUGGCUUAGAACCGAUGUGAAAUCCCCGGGCUCAACCUGGGAACUACAUUGGUGACUGGCAGGCUAGAGUAUGGCAGAGGGGGGUAGAAUUCCACGUGUAGCAGUGAAAUGCGUAGAGAUGUGGAGGAAUACCGAUGGCGAAGGCAGCCCCCUGGGCCAAUACUGACGCUCAUGCACGAAAGCGUGGGGAGCAAAACAGGAUUAGAUACCCUGGUAGUCCACGCCCUAAACGAUGUCAACUAGUUGUUGGGGAUUCAUUUCCUUAGUAACGUAGCUAACGCGUGAAGUUGACCGCCUGGGGAGUACGGUCGCAAGAUUAAAACUUAAAGGAAUUGACGGGGUCAUAGCUGUUUCC
rnacentral:rRNA from 1 species